rnacentral:misc_RNA from 1 species
GAAGUGCGAUAAGCAAUGCGAAUUGCAGAACCGUGAGUCAUCAGAUUUUUGAACGCAUCUGGCGCCGGCUGGGUCUCCAGCCGGCAUGCUUGUUUCAGUGUCUUGUUUUCUCCUCACCCAAAUCUUAAUGCGAGAGAUACCCUUCUCUUCUUUAAAACUCGAUCUCAAAUCAAGUAAGACUACCCGCUGAACUUAA